CUCAAGUAUGCAUAUUUAUGUUUAGAUAAGUAAGACAAACUUACCAGAUCAUACAAUUUUAAUUGAAUCCCUGCCUAAAGAUUAGCUCUUAAAAGAAGUUAACAGUGUCAGUUUACACAUGAAUAAAUAAAAAUUGAAAAAAAUAAAAAUCAAUAUUGAUGUUUAAUUUUAUAAUAUAUUCCUUUUUUAGUGAGUAACUGAGCUACAUGGAAUGGGGGCAUUGAAUUCGCCCAUGUGUAGAUCUGAAUCAUAACAGUACUCUAUAACCCUGGACAAGUCCUUUAGCUUUAGAGACCAUGUUUUCUAUUCUAUAAGUGUUAUUAAUAAUACUACUUUCCUCAGAGGGUCAUUGUGGAGAUUUAAUAAAAUAAUGCAACAGUAAGUUUUUAGAAUAUAAUCUGAUAAAUGGCAAAUUAUUAUUCUUAAAUUAUUUCACUUUUUAAAGUAAAACCUAUUUUUCACAAUUUCAGAAAUUGCUAUUUCUAUUAUAAUGAUCUACCAUAGCUUUCUAAUAGGCUAUCUAUUAAUCAUCAGAUGAUAGGUUUUCUUCUUGGGAAUGAUUUUCAAACAGAAUGAUAGAAAUUUAAAGGUAGAGUCUUAUAAAGAUGAUAACAUAGGAAUCAGAACUACUUGUUAAAAUAAUUAUUUGUAUUAUAUAGUUGUAUCAUCUUAGUGAGUUGGGGUGGGGUUGGGGGACAGUUGGGCUGAAAGUGGAUUAACUGAGGCCAAUUUUCCCUCAUCUUUGUUACCCAGAUUCCAGGGAAAGAUCAAUUACUCUGGACAGAAGGACCCCUUGCAUAAAGUGGCUGCUUCAACUGCUCUGACCACAGCACUUUCACUGACUACAACUCUAGACACAGUAACUAUUUGGGCACACCACAAUAAACUGACAGGCACCUUCCACUCCCUGUUUUGGGGCAGCGGAAGCUUGGAUGAUAUUGAAAGAAAAGAUUAUUAUUUUCUUGACUUUUGGAGACAAUGAGCUUCAAUAAACUUUAUCCAAGGCCACAAGACUGGAAUGAUAAUUUCUUACCUGUGUUCUAAAGAGAUUCACUUGGUUCAAUUCCACUCACCUUCAGGCAGUUUCUGACCUGGCCUCUCACCUUCAAGUUUCACUAGGGAAGGAUUCUUUUUAUCCCCAAGCCAAUAAGUCCUGGAAUUCCCUCCAGCUUUACACCCUGGAGGUCUGCACAGGUACUCUAACCUCAGUAACUAUAGCAACUAUAACAAAUCUUUCUAUGGCAACUCAAUUACAUUAUUACCUAGAUACAGUGUAAGGUGACAAGACUUCCAUUUAUUUAGACUGGCAGUUGGUAAUCUCAUUGCACAUCAAGUUUUGCUUGAGAAAGUCACAGAAGGAUAAAAAGCUAUAAUUGUUGGCACAUAGAUGAACAAAUUUGCACUUCAAUUUGCCAUGCUUGAUAUAAAUUGUGAAUACACGUGAAAGGCUUCUGCUUCCUGGGGAGACAAUAAAGUUUUUCAAGAAAGACAUUUACUUGAAAACACUUAAAUAAACAGAACUGAGAUUUAUGUGGGUCUGCUGGGACUCAGAAAUUCUGCAGAAGUAUUAUGAGGCAGGAUACAGAAAAUGAGGUAACAAAAGACUGAAGAUAAAGACACCUCUCUGGCUUACCUAAAAUGAAUGACUCUUUUCCUAUAUUUUUUUGAACAACUCUAUAAUUAUGAAUAACUUUGAACUAUUGAUGUCAAAAGAAUCUUAGAAUAUAAGCACUAGAUAAAUGGUGAUUGACAGAAAAAAAAUUUAAGUAUGUGACUGUUAGAAGAGUUAAUUUCUUUGUCUAGCAUUGUGGUCUUUUUACUGCUUUAAAAGCUGGUCUGUUUUACUGAUCUAUUUUUCUUGUCUUUAAAACAGAGCCUGGUAUUGACAUUAUUGUAGUCUAAAACAUUGUGGUCAAUAAUUACAU
ensembl:lncRNA